AGUUGUAUAGGGUGCUGGUGAGGCUUGGUGUGGAGUAGUUUGUACAGUUUUAGUCUCCUCACUUGAGAAAGGAUGUACUUGCACUAGAGGGGGUGCAAAGGAGGUUCACGAGGUUGAUUCCAGAAUUAAAAAUGUUGCUGUAUGGGGAGAGAUUGAGUAGACUAGGAUUGCAGUCACUGGAAUUUAGAAGAAUGAGGGGUGAUCGAAUAGAAACUUUCAAAAUUAUGAAACAAAUGGAUCGGAAAUUGUUUCCACUGAUGGGCGAAAUUCCAACUCGGGGGCACAGCCUCAAAAUAAGUGUGAACAGAUUUAAAACUGAGUUGAGGAUGAGCUUCUUCAUCCAAAGGGUUGUGAAUCUGUGGAAUUCUCUGCCCACUGAAACAGUUGAGGUUCCCUUGUUGAAUGUUUUGAAAGCCAAAACAGAUAGAUCUUUGAACAGGAAAGGAAUUGAGGAUUACGGUGAAUGGGAGGGUAAGUGGAGCUGAGUCCGCAAAAAAGAUCAGCGGAACGAGCUGGAAGAGACAGAUGGCCUACUCCUGUUUUAUUUCUUAUGUCCGUAUGUCCUUAGAUUGCCAUCCUUGUCAUUCCUCCUUCCCUGGAAUCGGCCAGUUCUGAACUGAAGAGCAGGUCUUUAAACAACUCCCACGUAUCAAAUGUUGACUUGUUCAAUAAAAGCUCCUCCCAAUUAAUACUGCUCAGCUCCUACCUAACACUGAUGUAAUUUUCCCUCCCCCAAUUUCGUCCCUUCCCACAAGGUCCUGAUGAUCCAUGGCUGUCUUAAAAUGUAAGGAGAUGCGAUCGCCCAUUUAAGAAGCUCCUGGUUCACUGUUUUUCCCAAGUGGGAAUCAGCUGCAGGCUUUCUUGUUCCACGAUGGGGGAGGAGAUGGCCUAGUGGUAUUAUUGCUGGACUGUUAAUUCAGAGACUGAGAUAACAUUCUGGGGACCUGUGUUCAAAUUCCAGCACAGCAGAUGGUGGAAUUUGAAUUCAAUACAAAAGAAAAUCAUGAAUUAAGAAUAUAAUGAUGACCAUGAAUUCAUUGCCAAAUGUCAGAAAAACUCACCUGGUUCACUGAUGUGCUUCAGGGAAGGAAACUGCCACCCUUACAUGAUCUGGUCUAUAUGUGACUGCAGACCCACAGCAAUAUGAUUGACUUUGAACUGUCCCCUGGGCAAUUAGGGAUGGACAAUAAACACUGCGUAGCUAGUGAUGUCCUCCUCCCAUUAACAAAUAAAUAAAAUUGGAUUCUACAUCUUCCGAUCCAAGAUCGUUUCUUGCUCUCAGACUAAUUUCUUCGCUUACAGUCACUUUCCCUCCUGCCUGUCUUUUUGGAAUGUCGUAUAGCCCUGCGCACUUAGCUCCAGUGUUGAUCUCCUUGUAACCAUGUCUUUGUAAUUGCUAUAAAAUCAUGCCCGUCAACCUAGAAAUGUGCUUUAAUUUGUUGAUUUUGUUCUGAAUACAAUGAGCAACCAAGCAAAGAGCCAUGAAUUUAGCUUUAUCACUUGAUUUCACCUCUUGACACUAUUUACAGCUGUUUUCUGUUUGUACAUGCUGUCUUUUCCAGUACCACGCUGAGUAUUGUUAUCCCGAUAGUUCUUUCGUAUCAGUCCGUGUGUAUUCCUGGACGAUUGUGCUCGUGUGGUCUCAGGAGUUGCGGAGGUCACGGCUCUGGGACAGCCGUUUCAUCGCCCGAUGCUGCAGGAAAAAAGCAAUGAAAGUGCCGUUAAUUUUUUGCAUGGCGAGCUGCUGCAUACUAACCGGUCUCAAACCAUUACCAACACCUUGCCCUUGUGAAGGCAGAUAUGGAUAAGGUUCUCAAAGCUGAUAGAAAAUUGAAACCACUCUAAUCCUGUGACGAUGAACCUGCCCCGGAAGAGAGAGCCCAGAGAAUUGCCAAAGCUGUCCGCAAACAGUCAAUAGAAGUGAAGGAAAAUUGGGAACAACUGAAAAUCCGUGCGAGCAACUGGCAGAAACAGGUGGAAAAGGCGUUGGAGAAACUUCAAGAACUGCACAAAGUUCUGGAUGAUCUUGAGGCUCAUGUGAUAACAGCUGAGGGGGUCCACACUGAUUGGCAACCUGUGAGUGACCUGCUUAUUGACUCAUUGCAGGAUCACUUUGAUAAAACCACAGGAAGUGCAAUGACAUUACACUUCACUUAUGAACAGAUGUAACCACAAUGUUGUAUGGAGACGAUCAGUAAUAUGAGUACUUCAGUAAUAUUGAUUGAAUGGUUGUUAACUUAAUUUGCAAAUUAAAACUUAGUUGAGCAUGCCUUCUGAUGAUAUCACAUGGUUAAUAUUAGUAUAGUUGAGGAUUCUAUUAGUCAGUGACAUCAGCUGAGUUAUCUGCUUGUUGCCAUGUUAUCAGGGUUAAAGGUAAAGUCUUAGCACGCCAUUUGGCGACUCCUUAGAGAGAGACAACUGGUUAUGAUUUAACCUGAAGAUCACCAUGCCUCAGGGAAGUAGAGGGGUUGAGGCGAAGACCCUUUGUGGUCAGCUCACUGGUGUGGCAAUUGAGCCCUCUCUGCAGGGCAUCAGUCUGCCUCACAAACCAACUGAAUUUGAAUAGAGUUUAGGAUUGGAGAGCCAUCCAUGCAAUUAUUUUUUUUUAAUGAAUGUUUCUCACUGGGACUCUCUCACUGGCAAACCUUUUAAAAGCCAGCUCAGCCAUACAGGCGAGAUCAGUUCCUGAUCUCAGCUGAAUUUUUUGACGUGGGGUGGGUCAGCGUUAGGAGUUCAUUGAUUGGAAUGAAUUCUCAUUAAGUUAGCGAGAGGGAUACUGCACGUGAAUAGAUCGAUGUUUUGAAAAGAGGAUGAGAUAUAAGCAAAAGUUGAAUUGAUGUGGAAGACCAGCCACAAUCAUCAUCGACGGUGGAGCAAGCUUGAGCGGCCAUGCAACGUUGUGCUGCCGCUAUUUGACUUGUUCUGUGGAAAGGAAGGAAAAUGGUCCAAGUGUCAAAAAUGCCAAAGACCACAUCAUUCUACAACCUCAAAAUUUGAUUGUGUUCAGCAUAUUAUCACUCCUGGUACCCCUAAAUCCUGGUCUAUCAUCUCAGCAGCUCGACUCUGCCCAAAAGCUGGUUACUUGUGACAUUUUUGAGGGAUCUUCCCAAGUCUGAAAAUCAGUUUUGUUUUUGUACAAUCAGAGUUGGCCAGUGUGGAAGGAGGUCGUUUGGCAAAUCGUAGCUCUUUGAAAUAACUCCCCAAUUCGUCCCCCUCUGCUUGGCAAUGACUUCAACCACUUAUAAAAUCUCUUUAAUGGAGGGAGACUUUGAAGGCAUCUGAUUGGAGUAUUAACGAUCCCAGAAUACAACUGAGCCUUAUUAAGUUGUUAGUUCUGAUGAUCAAGAGCUUGAUGAAAGAGGAUUGUUUGAAAAAGUGCCUUAAAAGAGGAAAUGUCCAGAGGCUAAGAGGUGUAGGAAGUUAGCGAGUUUUGAGAGGAUUUGUUGCUUGGGUUGAGGUUCUGGAUGUGAGUUCGCUCGCUGAAGGUGUAGGAAGUGUCUUCUUGGGUUUGAAGCCGACACAAUUAAAUGUUUGGCAACUAGUAGUGGGCUGUUUAAAAUCAAGAGUGGGCAAGCGGACAUAAUGAGAUGAGUGCAGAUGUCCUGAAGUAUGGUUGGACUGGUGGAGAUUACCAAAAUAGCGAUAGGCAUAGCCAAGUAACGAUUUGUAAAGAAAAAUGAGAAUUUAAUAAAAUUACUGUUAAUAGUAUCAGUCAGGUAGAAAGUACAGAGAAUAGGAAUUGGUUCAAGUUGAGACUCAGGCAGUGGAGUUUUAGACGACCUCAAGUGUUCAAUGGACAAAUGUGGGUCUCCAUCAGGGAAUGCAUUGGAAUUGUCAGGUCCAGAAGUGAAGUAGUUCCAGGUGAAGGUUUCACUGCUAAUGAGCCGAGACAAAAGACAGGUAGGCAGGAUUGAAAAGAUGUAAAGAGACAGCUUUAGGGAUUGCAUGAAUGUGUGGUCGGACGUUCAUCGUGGGAUAAACAAGAUGCCAAGGUUGUGCUGAGACAAGCGUAAUAUUACAUUGUUGCCAAGGCGGAGUAAUGCAAUCAGUAGGUCGUGAAUAGAGGUUGGUGUGGGGACCACAAAGUGGUCUUCCCAGUUUUAAAUUGUUAUCUCUACAUAGUUGCGCAACUUUAUGUUCUGUUCAAAAGGCAUUACUGACGAGGAAACAGAAGUUAGCCAUUUGUUUACUUGUCAAUAUAUCUUGAUUUUUCCACCAUGUUCUCCAAUUAUUGACACAACAUGUGCAGCGUACGAAGUGAACCGUUCAAACCUUCAAAGGAAAUGUUAAAAUUGUGGAAUAUAAAGUUAAAUUUAUUUUAUUGAAAAUUUAAAUAAAUUACAUGAAGGUUUGACCAAGACUGCAAGGAAUUAGAUGGAACACCAGAUGAAUAAAACAAGCAGUAGUAAGGUGGUAUAAGCUGGAUGUUCCUCAAGAAACAGAACGCAGCCAACCUUUCUUCCAUCGGGGAAUUAAUUGUGUGGUGUCAGACACAGUCGAUGAAAUCAUUCCUUCUGUCUUUACUGUCUGACUAGACUAUGGUUGUAAUAUUUCCUUUUUUAAGCGCUCAAGGUUAGACAUUACUUCACUUGACAUUCUCAUUUUAUAAAUUUUAAGAAGUUGACUUAUUGUCAAGUCACGAUAGGAUUGAAAACACAUUAUAUAACUGUUUGAAGUCAGAGUCACAUCACACCAGCUUGUCGUCCAACAGGUUCAUUUGAAAUCACACAAGCUUUUGGAGUGCAGCCCCUUCAUCAGGUGCAGUUAGUGAGGUGACCACAGAGAGACACAGCUUAUCAGCAGAGAGAUCAAAAGAUCAUAGAAUUGGCGUGAGUGGAGUGUCAGAUAAUAACUCUAUACAGGUGACCAAGAGUGUUAGAGGCAAGUAAAGCGUUUAUAAAGUCAAUGUCAGUGCUGUGUUGUCAUGAUAAUCAGGCAGCGCAACAGGAAUGUACAAAAGGUGACAUCUCAGGUCAGACUCUGACUUGUAGUUUCGAGGCUUGUGUUCAGAAUCUGUCUGAGAGUUUUAACCUUUAUUUCAAAAGCAAGAAUUUAUAAGAUACCACACUGACUGUAACUACAAGUUGUGUGUUUCUUCAACAAAAUAUCUGCAAACAAACAAACAUCCUGGAUGAAGACUUAUUAUCUGACACUCCACUCACACCAGUUGUAUGAUGUUUUGAUCUGUCUGCUUAUGAAUUGUGUGUCUGUGUGUUUUCCUCCCUGACCGCACCUGAUGAAGGGACUGCACUCCCAAAGCUUGUGUGAUUUCAAAUAAACCUGUCAGAUUAUAACCUGAUGUCAUGUGACUUCUGACUUUGUCUAUCCGAGUCCAACACCAGCACCUCCACAUGAUAACUGUUUGGAACCAAUUCAGCGCAACAGGUACAUAUCGAACAUUUGACUUCGGAAGAAUGCCGAGUGCUGAAAAGUUCAUUAAUAACAAAGGAUUUCUUCAUUAUGCCAUCUAUCGUAACAUGUUGCGUCUCACAGUCACAAUGAAAGGAUGGCCACUUCAAUUUAGCAGGGCCAAGAACAGUUAUGGACAUUUUUAGCAUGGGAGGAGGCCAUUCAACCUGUUUUAACUGUCCCAGCUCUCUCCCAGCGCAACAAAAUUAAUCCUUCUCUCGAACUCAUUCCACAUAUUUCACAGAAUUGAAAUAUAUAGGUACAUACUGAGGAGAUUUUAACAUCAAGUGAGCAGUUCUCGCACUUCACUUUAUCACUA